rnacentral:rRNA from 1 species
UAGGGAAUCUUCCACAAUGGACGCAAGUCUGAUGGAGCAACGCCGCGUGAGUGAAGAAGGGUUUCGGCUCGUAAAGCUCUGUUGUUGAAGAAGAACGUGGGUAAGAGUAACUGUUUACCCAGUGACGGUAUUUAACCAGAAAGCCACGGCUAACUACGUGUCAG